CGGAGUGUAGCUCAGACUGGUAGAGCACUGCUUUCGGGAGGCAGGGGCCGGAGGUUCAAAUCCUCUCACUCCGACCA
rnacentral:tRNA from 1 species